ensembl:misc_RNA Metazoa_SRP Metazoan signal recognition particle RNA
GCCGAGAUUGUGUGGCAGGUGCCUAUAGGCCCAGCUACUCUGGGGGCUAAGGCUGGAGCAUGGUUUGAGCCCAGGAGUUCUAGGCUAUAGUGCACUGGGCUUAGUGCGGACUCCUAUGCUGAUUAGGAGUCCGCACUAAGAUCAACAUGAAUAUGGUGACCUCCCGGGAGUAGGGGACCACCAGGUUGCCUAAGGAGGGAUAAGCCGGCCCAGGUCGGAACAGAGCAGGUCAGAACUCCUGUGUUGAUCAGUGGUGGGAUCGUGCCUGCGAAAAGCCACAGCAUGGGCAACAUAGCAAGACCCUGUCUCUA